AUUCAGCGGCGGACGGGUGAGUAAUGCCUAGGAAUCUGCCUGGUAGUGGGGGACAACGUUUCGAAAGGAACGCUAAUACCGCAUACGUCCUACGGGAGAAAGCAGGGGACCUUCGGGCCUUGCGCUAUCAGAUGAGCCUAGGUCGGAUUAGCUAGUUGGUGGGGUAAUGGCUCACCAAGGCGACGAUCCGUAACUGGUCUGAGAGGAUGAUCCUGGAACUGU
rnacentral:rRNA from 1 species